rnacentral:rRNA from 1 species
GCCAGACUCCUACGGGAGGCAGCAGUGGGGGAUAUUGCACAAUGGGGGGAACCCUGAUGCAGCGACGCCGCGUGGGUGAAGGAGUACUUCGGUACGUAAAGCCCUAUCAGCAGGAAAGAAAAUGACGGUACCUGACUAAGAAGCCCCGGCUAACUACGUGCCAGCAGCCGCGGUAAUACGUAGGGGGCGAGCGUUAUCCGGAUUCACUGGGUGUAAAGGGAGCGUAGACGGCCAAGCAAGCCAGGGGUGAAAGCCCGGGGCCCAACCCCGGGACUGCCCCUGGAACUGCAUGGCUGGAGUGCGGGAGGGGCAGGCGGAAUUCCUGGUGUAGCGGUGAAAUGCGUAGAUAUCAGGAGGAACACCGGCGGCGAAGGCGGCCUGCUGGACCGCGACUGACGUUGAGGCUCGAAAGCGUGGGGAGCGAACAGGAUUAGAUACCCUGGUACGA